rnacentral:rRNA from 1 species
GAGUAAUGUCUGGGAAACUGCCUGAUGGAGGGGGAUAACUACUGGAAACGGUGGCUAAUACCGCAUAACGUCGCAAGACCAAAGAGGGGGACCUUCGGGCCUCUUGCCAUCAGAUGUGCCCAGAUGGGAUUAGCUAGUUGGUGAGGUAACGGCUCACCAAGGCGACGAUCCCUAGCUGGUCUGAGAGGAUGACCAGCCACACUGGAACUGAGACACGGUCCAGACUCCUACGGGAGGCAGCAGUGGGGAAUAUUGCACAAUGGGCGCAAGCCUGAUGCAGCCAUGCCGCGUGUAUGAAGAAGGCCUUCGGGUUGUAAAGUACUUUCAGCGGGGAGGAAGGUGUUGUGGUUAAUAACCGCAGCAAUUGACGUUACCCGCAGAAGAAGCACCGGCUAACUCCGUGCCAGCAGCCGCGGUAAUACGGAGGGUGCAAGCGUUAAUCGGAAUUACUGGGCGUAAAGCGCACGCAGGCGGUCUGUCAAGUCGGAUGUGAAAUCCCCGGGCUCAACCUGGGAACUGCAUUCGAAACUGGCAGGCUUGAGUC